rnacentral:piRNA from 1 species
UCAUCUUGAUUGUCAGAUACCUAAAGGCA